rnacentral:piRNA from 1 species
UGGAUAAUACUUUUCUUAUGGAACUU